CCUACGGGAGGCAGCAGUGGGGAAUAUUGGGCAAUGGGCGCAAGCCUGACCCAGCAACGCCGCGUGAAGGAAGAAGGCUUUCGGGUUGUAAACUUCUUUUCUGAGGGACGAAGAAAGUGACGGUCUCUCUGGAAUAAGCCACGUCUAACUACGUGCCAGCCGCCGCGGUAAUACGGAGGUGGCAAGCGUUAUCCGGAUUUAUUGGGUGUAAAGGGCGUGUAGACGGGGAUGCAAGUCAGAUGUGAACACUCAUGGCUCAACCCAGAAGCUGUAUUUGAAACUGUUUUGCUUGAGUGCUGGAGAGGCAAGCGGAAUUCCGGGUGUAGCGGGGAAAUGCGUAGAUAUACGGAGGAACACCAGUGGCGAAGGCGGAUUGCUGGACAGUAACUGACGCUGAGGCGCGAAAGCGUGGGGAGCAAACAGGAUUAGAUACCCGAGUAGUC
rnacentral:rRNA from 1 species